GAUUGCUCCCUGGUGGAAGUUACCUCAGCAUUUCCUAGUGAGGGCAUCCAUAUUGCAAACUCCAGCUAGAAACAAUGAAAACAACAUUAAAGAAAAUUACUAUAGACCAUGUGACCGAGUGAAAUAAGCAUGGCACCAGUGAUUUCCCACUCAUCCUUUCAUGAGGUACAGAGAAGCAUUUGCAGUUUCAGCUAACCCACGCCACGGGUCCUGAUGUCAUCUGCUGUAAGUGACCUGGCUGACACAUAUCCAAGUGAGUCCCAGAUUGCCUGCUGCAAAUAGGAACAUCUCGCCUCCAAGCUGGGUGCUAAAAUCACAGCUCAGGGGAAAUACAGUACUUCACCACCCAGCCCUCCUGAAGCUGAUGUUUGGAAGGCCUCCACUGGUGAUGAUUCUGAUUGCUCCUGAAGGACCUACUGCAGAUUGACAGGAAGCUGCCAAAAAGCAUUGUGCCACAUCAGGAGGAGCAGAGGACAACCUGAGACUCUCAUUCCUUCUUGUCUCUGGGGAUGAAGAGGUGACAGAGCUAAAGGGAUGCACCACAAGUCUGGAGAAAUAGAGGAAGAUCAGAAGUCUCUGACUUCAGUGUUUGAGAUGCUGAGUUCCCCUGUAUCUGGUAGCUUUGGUUGCCUUUUACUCUCAUCUUGUACUUGGACACUGUUAGUGAAAGAUCUAAUAUGGAUAUCUAUCUAAAAUAUCUAUGCUGGUUUGUGCGAGAGCAUUGGGGCUGUGCAGUGACAUAAACUUUGCAUCCUCUUAUCUCAAGUAUUAAAGUGAAGGUGUUAGCAAUGCAGCUUGGUGGCUCUGUCAAAAGAGAAAGCAGUGAGCCAAAGCCAUCUCCUGUGUGUCCCCUACAGACACAGCUGCGCACACAGGCUGCAUGUGCAACUGCUUUAGGAAACUUUCCUUUCUGUUCUCACCAGCUCUCAGCAGUUUCUGUGCGUGCCCACCAGAGAGCAACCCUGGCACAGGGCUGGUGUCUCCAGAGACAGAGAUGGGGACUGUAGGACCAAACCCAGCUUCCUUCACCCUUUCCAGCCUUAUCACCUUGCCCAAACUGGAGCUGGAAGCAGGGUGUGACCCCCCCUGUGUGCCCCAAAUCCAAGGCAAGAGGAACUUCCUGCUGGGCACAAGGAUGUGGCACUAAGAGUCUGGCUGUCCUGAAGCUGUUGUAGGGAAGGACCAUGCUGGGACAGCAGGGAGAGUCUGUCCCAUGGAUUAAGAGCAAGUUCAGACAGCUGAAACCUCCAAAAUUCAGAUGGGUAACAGCACAGUGCUUUGUGUCAGUCUCACAAGUAAAUGUGCAGAUGAAUUUUGGUUUUUAUAUUUUUGUUAUUUUUUGACAGCUGUCUCAGUGAAUGGCUUUGGUACAUGAAUAUGGAGUUUGAUGUUAUGGCAUGUUCUGUUAUUUCAGGUACAAUCUAGUGCUUGCUGUUCAGAGAAGAAAGAAACCUGUACUUGUCGUGCACCUGCAGGUUUUAUAAGCAUCAGUGCUCAGUGCUGGCUUGAGGUCCUGGGUGGGCUGAAAGUUUUAGGUUUAGAGAUAGGGCUCAGCCAUACAUGAACUACCUCACUGCAGCUCUCCCUCUAUGGGGAGGAGAUGGGCAAGCUUUGCUAGGAUGUGCAGAGCAGGUGGUGAUCACCUUUGUCUCUGCUCCAUGCUGGAUCUGUGUUCCCAUGGGCAGCAGCAGGUGGGAUGGCUGUGACCCCUGUGAACUGCAGCCCCAGGGCUCGUGCAAAGGGCUUUGAGUGAAAGCUGAGGGAAGAAAUAACACUGCUAUUUUUAUCCUUGCUCCAGCCUGGGGAUUUGGAUUGGCAGGGUUAGUUAUGAAGCCAAUAUUAUGAGUUUAACUAUGAGUGAAAUAACAUAACUUCUGUGGGAAGCAGAGUAAAAGAGGCAAUUAUGCAGUAGCUUAAUAACAGCACUCUGGCUGGGUAGCUGAAAAUAUACAGUUGACAGUAAUUAGAUUUUUUUUUUUUCAUUCUUCCUGUUAAAUAGCUACAAAAAUUACAAUAUAAAUUCAUCUGAUUCACUCUUAGACGCUGUUUUCAUCAUCGGGUCCGUAACCAUUUGGCAUUCAGGCUAUUUUUGUUUUGUAAUUUUCUACUGUCUGGUAUUUUAGAGGCACAGAACUUAAUGUUCGUAAUGUUGGACACACAAAGCAAGAUGAUAAAGGCAGGUGGGGAAGCAAGCAAGAACCCCAUCAGAAAUGAAGGGCGUGUCUGGAUGGACAGCAAGGACUUCCCAAGUGGGGUCCCCUGACUCGCUGUUCUCUAUCCAAGCGCUCACCAUUCUUCGUGUAUAGACAGCAUUAAGCUUUCCCUUAUGCCUCACAACCUUGCAUUACCUUAGCAACUGUGUGCUUUCCAGCUUGCAGGGCAGAACUUGAUGAGCCAGCAAGUGUCUGUCACUUGGGCUGCUUCUGAUCAUAGCUUGAAAGCCCUGCGCAGCAUGAAGGAAAGAGCUCUCAGGUUUGCUCUCAUUGCUGAAGGCUCAGGACGGGAUAUUUGCUUGGAGGCUGAAAGUGUUCUUCCUCUUGCUCUGUUUUAUUAUGUAAAAGAGCCAAGCGUGAUUAACGAUACCAUGGUCCUGUUGUUGUGAUGUGACACCGGACUGUGAGGUUGUGUUUCGUGGCUCUGAUGCCCAGUGGUGUCUCUGACACGUGCAAUAAAUAAUCUCUGCAGCAGCA